GUCUGCGGCCACGCCUCCCUGAACACGCCCGAUCCCGUCUGAUCUCAGAAGCUGAGCAGGGUCUGGCCUGGUUAGUCCUUGGAUGGGAGACCACCUAGGAAGACCAGAUGCUGUAGACG
ensembl:rRNA 5S_rRNA 5S ribosomal RNA